GAUAUGGACAGAGAGAAGUACUGGAGAAUGUAGUUUGGUGAGAUCAGAUGAAUCACAACAUAUUGGGGAAUCUGGUGCUGCCCUGAAUCCAAACUCUGGAGCUCUUACAAUUAUACCGUGCCCCUCAGGAAGAUGGAGGGUGUAAAGACUUUAGAGGACUCAUCUGGAAGUAGCCCAGAAACCACUGAACUCUGGGUCUUUGGGAAAUCUCUGAGAGCAUCCAAUUGAACGACUCUGGAGAGGAGCCAUACCUAUGGGGUAUUCAAAUGAUUUAGAUCAGUUUAGAGGUUUCUACUCCAGUCCAUUUUAGAAAUGAGAAAACAGACCCAGGGAGAUUUUAAGGGACUUGCUCAAGAUUGAUCUUAACGUCAUUCAAGUAAGGUGCUAUUCACCACUACCUUCUUCUUACCAGACAUUGACUGACCUCAGAAUUCUCUGUACUAGGUUGAAAAUCACUAAGGCCACAGGAGCUGGAAAAGUAAGAAAGGGAAGUGCUUUCCUGGGGCAGUAAUCCCACUGUCCUUUACCCCGGUCAGACCACAUCUGCAGUAUUGCGUUCAGUUCUGGGUAUCACAUUUUGGGCAGGACAUUGAUAUGCUGGUACAUGUUCAGAGAAGGGCAACCAGGCGGAAAUCUAAAACCUUGCCCCAUGAGGAUUGGUUGAAGGAACUAGGCCUGUUUAACCUAGAGGAGACUUAGCAGGGGCAUGAGAGCACUCUUAAAAUAUCUGAUGACCAAGAAAAGAGAACAAGCUUGCUUUUGGUCCCAGGAGGCAGGGAACCGAAGAUUCAGAAAGGCAUGUCGGGGUCCAUUUAAUGAAAAACUUACUAAAAGAGUUGUUCAAAAGGGGAAUGGUCUGCUCUGGGAGUUAGGGGGUCCCCCAUCAUCUUGAAGAAGAGGGGACUCUGGAAUAUAAGUGAAUUUGGAUAGGUACUGAAUUCUCUUCUAACUCUGAAAGCCUGUGAUCAUCCUCCAUCCAUACCUGAACCAGAGUCUGUACUGUAAUGUCUCUGACAAGUGGUCAUUCAGCCUUUGCUCAAAGACCCCUAAUUUCAGGGCUCCCCCUGUUCCUGAGAUGGCCCAUUCCAUUUUGGAUAGCUCCAGUUAUUAGGAAGUGUUUCCUGACAUCCCUGCUAAACUUAAUAUGUCUUUACAACUUCCACCUGCUGCUGUUAGUUCUGCCUGUCAGGGUGGAGGGCUGGCAAACAGAAGACUUAUCCUUCCUGCAUAUGAAGGCCUUCAAAAUGCUUAAAGGUAGCUAUCGUAUUCCUUCCCCACCACCCAGCCUGUCCUAUCAUCUGCUGUUUUAGAGGCAUCCUGGGGUGGUGGAAAGAGCAUUCAAUCUGAAAUCAGAAAACCUGUGUUUGCAUCUCACCUCAGUCCAGUACUGCUUAUGUGGCCUCAGGCAGGUCAACUCCGUGGGCCUCCAUUUCCUCAUCUGAAAAGCCCCUUAAGAAGAAUUGCACUCUGCCUGAGACAGAGCACACCCUAAGAGCCACAGGGGAGAGCCGGCUCAACUGCCCCAGAGAGUUCAGCCUGAGGAUUGGAAACCGAUUAAUUCCUCCAGCCAGAUGCAGGUCACAUUGCACUGCCCAGCUGAAUGAAUCGCGCACGGCAUCUCGUUUCAUUAUUUCCAAGGAGUGGAGGCUGGCAUGAGGUUUUGAUUGAUACCUGGAAGGUUAAAAAAAAAACCCCAACAACCAUGAAGCAAGCAAACAAAAAUUCUUGUGUAUGGUAAUGCGCCAGGUGAAGCAAGGUGGAAACUGGUUAGGUCACAGUCAUGGAGCAACUUUCUGUGAUUGUUCCAGGGUGUUGCACUUGAGGGGUGAUGGCUACUUUCUCUCUGGUAGCACAUCCGCACCAUGUGUAGCCAAUCCCAGUUAUCUCUUCUAGCACUACCAGGAAUAGAAGGGUAUUACAUAUUUUUUAGGCAUUGUGGAACUUGCAUGGAAAGUGCUUUCUAAACCCAAAGGCCUAGAAAGCUGUGAGGUUUAUAUAUAAAGGUAAAUUAUUAUUAUUAGUAGUAGUAGUAUUAUAAUAGUUCUGCACCCAAAGGCUAAACUGGGAUCUAGAUCCCAGUUCUGUGAUUCCCCCACCUCUUUACCUUAGUAUUCUUAUCUGUAAAAUAGGAAGUCUUCUCUAAUUACCUCCAUAAAUCAAUAAAUAAGAAUUUAUAAUAAUAGUCGGCUCAUGUAAAGGUUUGAAAAGCA